UGGGGAAUAUUGGACAAUGGGCGAAAGCCUGAUCCAGCCAUGCCGCGUGUGUGAAGAAGGUCUUCGGAUUGUAAAGCACUUUAAGUUGGGAGGAAGGGCAGUAAGCGAAUACCUUGCUGUUUUGACGUUACCGACAGAAUAAGCACCGGCUAACUCUGUGCCAGCAGCCGCGGUAAUACAGAGGGUGCAAGCGUUAAUCGGAAUUACUGGGCGUAAAGCGCGCGUAGGUGGUUCGUUAAGUUGAAUGUGAAAGCCCCGGGCUCAACCUUGGAACUGCAUCCACAACUGGCGAGCUAGAGUAGGGCAGAGGGUGGUGGAAUUUCCUGUGUAGCGGUGAAAUGCGUAGAUAUAGGAAGGAACACCAGUGGCGAAGGCGACCACCUGGGCUCAUACUGACACUGAGGUGCGAAAGCGUGGGGAGCAAACAGG
rnacentral:rRNA from 1 species